GGCUUUUUGAUUAUAAUUUAAAGUCUGGCCUGCCCAAUGAUUUAUAUUUAAUGGCCGCGGUAAUUUGACCGUGCAAAGGUAGCAUAAUCAUUAGUUUUUUAAUUGAAAGCUUGUAUGAAAGGUUUGAUGAGAAAAUUACUGUCUCUAAUUGAAUAUUAGAAUUUUAUUUUUAAGUAAAAAAGCUUAAAUAAUUGUUGAAGACGAGAAGACCCUAUAGAAUUUUAUUUAUUUUUAAAUCAAUUAUAUUAAGAAUUAAAAAGAUUUAUUUAAAAAUAAAUUUAGUUGGGGUGAUUGAAAAAUUAAAUAAACUUUUUUUAGUAUUUUUACAUUUAUUUAUGAGUUUUUGAUCCUAUUUUAGAUUAAAAGAUUAAAUUACCUUAGGGAUAACAGCGUAAUCUUUUUUAGAGUUCUUAUUGAAAAAAGGGAUUGCGACCUCGAUGUUGGAUUAAAUUAAAUUAUUGGUGUAGGGGCUAAUAAAUUAGGUCUGUUCGACCUUUAAAAUUUUACAUGAUCUGAGUUUAAACCGGCGUAA
rnacentral:rRNA from 1 species